rnacentral:misc_RNA from 1 species
CGGAAGUGUCCCCGGGCGGUAGAGGUAACACUCUCACGCGGCCACAUGCCUUCAUCCUUUUUUUACGAGCACCUUUCGUUCUCCUUCGGUGGGGCAACCUGCCGUUGGAACCUAUCAAAACCUUUUUUUGCAUUUAGCAUUACCUGUUCUGAUACAAACAAUCGUUACAACUUUCAACAAUGGAUCUCUUGGCUCUGGCAUCGAUGAAGAACGCAGCGAAAUGCGAUAAGUAGUGUGAAUUGCAGAAUUCAGUGAAUCAUCGAAUCUUUGAACGCACAUUGCGCCCCUUGGUAUUCCAUGGGGCAUGCCUGUUCGAGCGUCAUCUACACCCUCAAGCUCUGCUUGGUGUUGGGCGUCUGUCCCGCCUCUGCGCGCGGACUCGCCCCAAAUUCAUUGGCAGCGGUCCUUGCCUCCUCUCGCGCAGCACAUUGCGCUUCUCGAGGUGCGCGGGCCGCGUCCACGAAGCAACAUUACCGUCU